GGGACUACUGGGGUUUCUAAUCCCGUUUGCUCCCCUGGCUUUCGCGUCUCAGCGUCAGAAUGGGUCCAGAGACUCGCUUUCGCCGCGGGCGUUCCUUCCGAUCUCAACGCAUUUCACCGCUCCACCGGAAGUUCCAGUCUCCCCUACCCACCUCAAGACAACUCGUAUCAGCGCCUGUUCCCCGGUUGAGCCGGGGGAUUUCAACGACUGACGUGGUCAUCCGCCUACACGCGCUUUAAGCCCAGUAAUUCCGAAUAACGUUCGCUUGGUUCGUCUUACCGCGGCGGCUGGCAC
rnacentral:misc_RNA from 1 species